GACGAACGCUGGCGGCGUGCCUAAUACAUGCAAGUCGAGCGAGUCUGCCUUGAAGAUCGGAGUGCUUGCACUCUGUGAAACAAGAUACAGGCUAGCGGCGGACGGGUGAGUAACACGUGGGUAACCUGCCCAAGAGAUCGGGAUAACACCUGGAAACAGAUGCUAAUACCGGAUAACAACAGAUGAUGCCUAUCAACUGUUUAAAAGAUGGUUCUGCUAUCACUCUUGGAUGGACCUGCGGUGCAUUAGCUAGUUGGUAGGGUAACGGCCUACCAAGGCGAUGAUGCAUAGCCGAGUUGAGAGACUGAUCGGCCACAUUGGGACUGAGACACGGCGCAAACUCCUACGGGAGGCAGCAGUAGGGAAUCUUCCACAAUGGACGCAAGUCUGAUGGAGCAACGCCGCGUGAGUGAAGAAGGGUUUCGGCUCGUAAAGCUCUGUUGUUGGUGAAGAAGGACAGGGGUAGUAACUGACCUUUGUUUGACGGUAAUCAAUGAGAAAGUCACGGCUAACUACGUG
rnacentral:rRNA from 1 species